rnacentral:rRNA from 1 species
UACGGGGGGAGCAAGCGUUGUUCGGAUUUACUGGGCGUAAAGGGCGCGUAGGCGGUCAGCACAAGUCAGUUGUGAAAUCUCCGGGCUUAACUCGGAAAGGUCAACUGAUACUGUGCGACUAGAGUGCGGAAGGGGCAACUGGAAUUCUCGGUGUAGCGGUGAAAUGCGUAGAUAUCUGGAGGAACACCGGUGGCGAAGGCGGCAUCCUGGGCCGGUAUUGACGCUGAUGCGCGAAAGCCAGGGGAGCAAACGGG